rnacentral:rRNA from 1 species
UUGCCGGCGACCGGCGCACGGGUGAGUAACGCGUAUCCAACCUUCCGUACACUCAGGGAUAGCCUUUCGAAAGAAAGAUUAAUACCUGAUGGUAUGAUGAGAUUGCAUGGUAUCAUCAUUAAAGAUUUAUCGGUGUACGAUGGGGAUGCGUUCCAUUAGGUAGUAGGCGGGGUAACGGCCCACCUAGCCAACGAUGGAUAGGGGUUCUGAGAGGAAGGUCCCCCACAUUGGAACUGAGACACGGUCCAAACUCCUACGGGAGGCAGCAGUGAGGAAUAUUGGUCAAUGGACGAGAGUCUGAACCAGCCAAGUAGCGUGAAGGAUGAAGGUCCUACGGAUUGUAAACUUCUUUUAUAAGGGAAUAAACCCUCCCACGUGUGGGAGCUUGUAUGUACCUUAUGAAUAAGCAUCGGCUAACUCCGUGCCAGCAGCCGCGGUAAUAC